CAACUACUCCCUCUGUACCAAAUUUCUUGUCUUAUAUUUGUCUAGAUACGGAUGUAUCUAAUACUAAAAUGUGACUUGAUACAUCCGUAUCUAGACAAAUCUAAGACAAGAAUUUAGAUACAUCCGUAUCUAGACAAAUCUAAGACAAGAAUUUUGGGACGGAGGGAGUACUUU
rfam:Triticum aestivum genome assembly, contig: Triticum_aestivum_CS42_TGACv1_scaffold_133458_2BL